rnacentral:tRNA from 1 species
GCCGCCGUAGCUCAGCUAGGUAGAGCGGCUGGCUGUUAACCAGUCGGUCGUAGGUUCGAGUCCUACCGGCGGCGCCA